CGUGUUGAGGUAGCCGCCCGCCACAGUCACAGUCUCACACCCUUUGACUGGCGAUUGUCCAGUGGUGGCUAAGAUCAAUGUC
ensembl:miRNA pma-mir-4599b pma-mir-4599b